rnacentral:rRNA from 1 species
UACGAAGGGGGCUAGCGUUGUUCGGAAUUACUGGGCGUAAAGCGCACGUAGGCGGACUAUUAAGUCAGGGGUGAAAUCCCGGGCUCAACCCCGGAACUGCCUUUGAUACUGGUAGUCUCGAGUCCGGAAGAGGUGAGUGGAAUUCCGAGUGUAGAGGUGAAAUUCGUAGAUAUUCGGAGGAACACCAGUGGCGAAGGCGGCUCACUGGUCCGGUACUGACGCUGAGGUGCGAAAGCGUGGGGAGCAAACAGG